UGAUUUAUUCAACGAGUAUAUAGACUUGGCCGACACGCCCAUGUAAUCUUGGGAAAUAUCAUUGUGAUGGGGAUAGACCAUUGCAAUUGUUGGUCUUCAAC
rnacentral:rRNA from 16 species